rnacentral:rRNA from 1 species
GACGAACGCUGGCGGCGUGCUUAACACAUGCAAGUCGAACGGAAAGGCCCUGCUUUUGUGGGGUGCUCGAGUGGCGAACGGGUGAGUAACACGUGAGUAACCUGCCCUUGACUUUGGGAUAACUUCAGGAAACUGGGGCUAAUACCGGAUAGGAGCUCCUGCUGCAUGGUGGGGGUUGGAAAGUUUCGGCGGUUGGGGAUGGACUCGCGGCUUAUCAGCUUGUUGGUGGGGUAGUGGCUUACCAAGGCUUUGACGGGUAGCCGGCCUGAGAGGGUGACCGGGCAGCAAGGGAGUAGGAGACGGCACAGACGGCUACGGGAGACAACAGGGGGGAAUAUUGUACAAUGGGAGGAAGUAUGAUGGAGCGUCGCCGCGUGCGGGAGGAGGGCAUUCGGGUUGUAAAACGCGAAAGCCUGAGACGUAGCGGGAGUGACGGUAAAGGGUAAAGAAGGACCGGCUAACUAAGUG